rnacentral:rRNA from 1 species
GGGGAAUUUUGGACAAUGGGCGCAAGUCUGAUCCAGCCAUGCCGCGUGCAGGAUGAAGGCCUUCGGGUUGUAAACUGCUUUUGUACGGAACGAAAAGGUGCCUUCUAAUAAAGGGCGCUCAUGACGGUACCGUAAGAAUAAGCACCGGCUAACUACGUGCCAGCAGCCGCGGUAAUACGUAGGGUGCGAGCGUUAAUCGGAAUUACUGGGCGUAAAGCGUGCGCAGGCGGUUUUGUAAGACAGAGGUGAAAUCCCCGGGCUCAACCUGGGAACUGCCUUUGUGACUGCAAGGCUGGAGUGCGGCAGAGGGGGAUGGAAUUCCGCGUGUAGCAGUGAAAUGCGUAGAUAUGCGGAGGAACACCGACGGCGAAGGCAAUCCCCUGGGCCUGCACUGACGCUCAUGCACGAAAGCGUGGGGAGCAAACA